rnacentral:rRNA from 1 species
UAGAGUUUGAUCAUGGCUCAGAUUGAACGCUGGCGGCAGGCCUAACACAUGCAAGUCGAGCGGUAGAGAGAAGCUUGCUUCUCUUGAGAGCGGCGGACGGGUGAGUAAUACCUAGGAAUCUGCCUGAUAGUGGGGGAUAACGUUCGGAAACGGACGCUAAUACCGCAUACGUCCUACGGGAGAAAGCAGGGGACCUUCGGGCCUUGCGCUAUCAGAUGAGCCUAGGUCGGAUUAGCUAGUUGGUGAGGUAAUGGCUCACCAAGGCUACGAUCCGUAACUGGUCUGAGAGGAUGAUCAGUCACACUGGAACUGAGACACGGUCCAGACUCCUACGGGAGGCAGCAGUGGGGAAUAUUGGACAAUGGGCGAAAGCCUGAUCCAGCCAUGCCGCGUGUGUGAAGAAGGUCUUCGGAUUGUAAAGCACUUUAAGUUGGGAGGAAGGGCAUUAACCUAAUACGUUAGUGUUUGACGUACC